UACGUAGGGGGCAAGCGUUGUCCGGAUUCAUUGGGCGUAAAGGGUGCGCAGGCGGCCGUGUGUGUGAGGCGUGAAAGCCCGGGGCUUAACCCCGGAAUUGCACCUCAAACUACAUGGCUAGAGCAUUGGAGAGGGUAGCGGAAUUCACGGUGUAGCAGUGAAAUGCGUAGAUAUCGUGAGGAACACCAGAGGCGAAGGCGGCUACCUGGACAAUUGCUGACGCUCAGGCACGAAAGCGUGGGGAGCAAAAGGG
rnacentral:rRNA from 1 species